rnacentral:rRNA from 1 species
UACGGGGGGGGGCAAGCGUUGUCCGGAAUCAUUGGGCGUAAAGCGCGUGUAGGCGGCUCGGUAAGUCUGCUCUGAAAGCCCGGGGCUCAACCCUGGGAGGCGGGUGGAUACUGCUGAGCUCGAGUCCGGAAGAGGCGAGUGGAAUUCCUGGUGUAGCGGUGAAAUGCGCAGAUAUCAGGAGGAACACCAAUGGCGAAGGCAGCUCGCUGGGACGGUACUGACGCUGAGACGCGAAAGCGUGGGGAGCAAACAGG